ACAGAUAGCACCAAGCAUCCUGUCUUCUAAAUGUGAACGCUGACAUGUUGUGGCACUAGCCACACAAGUGUUUAAAUAAACACUCCCUUUAGUUAAAAUGCCUGGCCAGGUAACUUCUUAAUUAUUGUAUCUAUUUAAUUAAGGAUUCCCCUUUAAGAAGGCUGAACUCCCAUGAGCCUUUGUUCUUUUUUAAACAGGUAGAGGGUGGAAGGGAGGCAGGUUUUGUGUUCUGGGUUCCUCCAUUUUGUGUAUGGCGGUGUGGUUUGUGUGCAGGUUCUGAAUGGGUUCCAGUUGGCUUUCAGGAUUUUAUUUACAAGAAAAUUAUAUUAAAUAAGAACUAUACCUACCUUGGAGCAUCUCUUGGACAACUUGUUGCUGUUGGACUGCCACUGGAACUACAGAAUAAGCAUCAACAAACAAACAAACAGUCGGGUCUGUGAGGAUGAGAAGGUCUCCACAGUCUGGAGUCUGGUCUCUGACAGGCUCAACAUACCUGUCAAUCAACAGGGACUCCUCUACAAAGGCAAGGCGCUGGCAGGUAGGCUGAACAGCACAGCACAGCUCACCCCUCCUCUCACCCCUCACCUCACCCCUCCUCUCAACACUCCUCGCACGCCUCGCCUCACCCCGGGUCAGUGUGGCACAGCCUGCCUGCUCUUCUGAACAAACACUUCAGCCCUGCCGACGCAGUGACAGUCUGGAGCAGCAACACAAGGUGAUGAAGUGACACUUUGAAUAUGGGGCCUGAUGAGAGAAGUAUCCUUUUCAUGUGGUUUUGGUUUUGCCGUUGUGAGCAGGUGUGGGAGACAGCACCGUGUCUGCAUGUGAAAUAACAAAGUCAUUCACAGGGCAUGCUUGUUCAUUUAAAGCACGCUGCACUGCAGGGGAGACACCGCUGGCAUUCACAGGGCAUGCUUGUUCAUUUAAAGCACGCUGCACUGCAGGGGAGACACCGCUGGCAUUCACAGGACAUGCUUGUUCAUUUAAAACACGCUGCUGUGGGAUGUUUGCACAGUGAUCUUGUAUCUUAUUUUCAGGUGAAGUUUUGAAUGCAUCAAGUUGGAAGACUUGGUU